AGUGAACGCUGGCGGUAGGCCUAACACAUGCAAGUCGAACGGCAGCACAGUAAGAGCUUGCUCUUACGGGUGGCGAGUGGCGGACGGGUGAGGAAUACAUCGGAAUCUACUUUUUCGUGGGGGAUAACGUAGGGAAACUUACGCUAAUACCGCAUACGACCUACGGGUGAAAGCAUGGGAUCUUCGGACCUUGCGCGAUUGAAUGAGCCGAUGUCGGAUUAGCUAGUUGGCGGGGUAAAGGCCCACCAAGGCGACGAUCCGUAGCUGGUCUGAGAGGAUGAUCAGCCACACUGGAACUGAGACACGGUCCAGACUCCUACGGGAGGCAGCAGUGGGGAAUAUUGGACAAUGGGCGCAAGCCUGAUCCAGCUAUACCGCGUGUGUGAAGAAGGCCUUCGGGUUGUAAAGCCCUUUUGUUGGGAAAGAAAAGCAGCAGGUUAAUACCCCGCUGUUCUGACGGUACCCAAAGAAUAAGCACCGGCUAACUUCGUG
rnacentral:rRNA from 1 species